rnacentral:SRP_RNA from 1 species
GCUGGGCAUGAUGGCACAUGCCUGUAGUCCCAGCUACUUGGGAGGCUGAGGCAGGAGAAUCACUUGAACCCAGGAGGCGGAGGUUGCAGUGAGCCGAGAUGGCGCCACUGCACUCCAGCCUGGGCAACACAGUGAGACUCUGUCUCAU